GCAAUAUGGGACUGUGGGGGCAAGCCUGAUCCAGCAAUGCCGCGUGUGUGAAGAAGGCCUUCGGGUUGUAAAGCACUUUAGGCCGGGAAGAAAAAAUCAGACCUAAUACGUCUGGUCUUGACGGUACCGGAAGAAUAAGCAACGGCUAACUCUGUGCCAGCAGCCGCGGUAAUACAGAGGUUGCAAGCGUUAAUCGGAUUUACUGGGCGUAAAGCGUGUGUAGGUGGCUGUACAAGUCGGUUGUGAAAUCCCUGGGCUCAACCUGGGAACUGCUUCCGAGACUGUAUGGCUAGAGAUCGGUAGAGGGCGGUGGAAUUUCCGGUGUAGCGGUGAAAUGCGUAGAUAUCGGAAGGAACACCAAUGGCGAAGGCAGCCGCCUGGGCCUGAUCUGACACUGAGACACGAAAGCGUGGGGAUCAAACAGGAUUAGAUACCCUGGUAGUCCACGCCGUAAACGAUGGGUACUUGACGUCGGCAUGCUCUGCGUGUCGGUGUCGAAGCUAACGCGCUAAGUACCCCGCCUGGGGAGUACGGCCGCAAGGUUGAAACUCAAAGGAAUUGAGGGGGG
rnacentral:rRNA from 1 species